GAUGAACGCUGGCGGCGUGCCUAAUACAUGCAAGUCGAGCGAACAGACGAGGAGCUUGCUCCUCUGACGUUAGCGGCGGACGGGUGAGUAACACGUGGAUAACCUACCUAUAAGACUGGGAUAACUUCGGGAAACCGGAGCUAAUACCGGAUAAUAUAUUGAACCGCAUGGUUCAAUAGUGAAAGACGGUUUUGCUGUCACUUAUAGAUGGAUCCGCGCCGCAUUAGCUAGUUGGUAAGGUAACGGCUUACCAAGGCGACGAUGCGUAGCCGACCUGAGAGGGUGAUCGGCCACACUGGAACUGAGACACGGUCCAGACCCCUACGGGAGGCAGCAGUAGGGAAUCUUCCGCAAAGGGCGAAAGCCUGACGGAGCAACGCCGCGUGAGUGAUGAAGGUCUUCGGAUCGUAAAACUCUGUUAUUAGGGAAGAACAAAUGUGUAAGUAACUAUGCACGUCUUGACGGUACCUAAUCAGAAAGCCACGGCUAACUACGUG
rnacentral:rRNA from 1 species